CUUCUUGUCACACUGCCCGCUUAACCCGGAGGAUUGCAACCAACUGAAAGGAGCAUACACUGCCACCUACUGUACUGAUAUGGGCGGACCGGAAACCCAGUUACAAAACUCAGGUCUACAGCUGCCAUUUUCUGGUAGGAAAGAGAAAUGGCCCAGUAUUUAGCAUAAAAGGUAGCUCAUCCACCAUGGCAGAAGAGGAAGAUCAUCCACCAUGGCAGAAGAGGAACAUCAUCCACCAUGGCAGAAGAGGAAGAUCAUCCACCAUGGCAGAAGAGGAAGAUCCAGACUGUUGAUUGGGAAACCAGAACAAACAAUGAGACAUUGGGUGUUGCGGGACCACUUGUCACAUUGUCCAAGUCCAACAGGAGUGCAUCCUCAGACCAUCCGGUGCAUGGACAACCUGUGCCAGUGUGAUCCGAGCACGAGCUUCCAGUUGUGGAGACUACAUCACAUCGAGACAUGAGUCAUGACAUGCGGAACAUCAGGCUCACCCCACGAGAAGCAGUGCAUGAUCAACGUCACCCUCAGCAAGGAAAUCUGCUGGAAGUGAUGUCUUACCCCCAGAGUACAGGAAGGGAUGACUGGGGCCUUCAGCAAGUAAGACACAGAGGGUACUAACAGGAGGAGCAAUAGGAGUCUGCCAGAGGUCGUCACCCUGAAUGGGGAUGGAGGCUUUAGUGGUCCACACAACAAAGAAGUAGGUGUCCCUUCCAGUGAUGUGGAGCUGCUCUUGGACCUCACGGAGGCUGUAAGACCCUCCCUCCUUGAUAUAUAAAUCCUUCGACAUCCCUGCACCAUAGGGACACUUGACCUCCACCACUGCUGUGGUGCCCACAGGAUCCCAGACCCCAAGACCCAAAACCCUGACUCCUGCACAUUCAUCCCUGUAGCCAUUUUGAACGCCUUGACGUUCUCCUCUUCGUUAUCUGGGCCCCACUUUACAGACAACACCCAUCCAACGACUGAACACCAUGAAAUGCAUUCGUUGUAAGAAAUGUGCUAUAUAAAUAAAGUUUGAUUUGAUUUAUGACAUUACAGCUGUAGAAUAUUUAAUUGCAGUUUUUCCAUAAACUUUUAAUUGUUAACUUGGGAUUUUAUCACCUGACGUAUCAAUUAUAUAGUGGAAACGAUCCUUUAAACCAAGACUGUGUGAAUGCAUGUACCACU